rnacentral:rRNA from 1 species
UUCGGUUGAUCCUGCCGGACCCGACUGCUAUUUGGGUGAGGAUAAGCCAUGCGAGUUGUAUGGGAUACCUAAAUUUCCCAUGGCAAACUGCUUAGUAACACAUGAUCAACUUACCCUAUGGAGAAAAAUAACCUCGGGAAAGUAUCAUAGUGAUUUAAAUAAUUAGGGAAUAGAAUAUAUCAAAAGGUUAUGGUACCCCGAAACUGAGGAUAAUGUUUCAUAGGUGAAUAGGCUUGGAAAAGUUUUUCAUCGAAAAGGAUAAGAAAAAUGGUUUUUAUCUGCUAUAGGAUAGGAUCGUGUUCGAUUAUGGUUGUUGGUGAGAUAAUGGCUCACCAAGCCGAUAAUCGAUAGGGGCCGUGAGAGCGGGAGCCCCGAGAUGGGUACUGAGACAACGACCCAGGCCUUACGAGGCGCAGCAGGCGCGGAACCUCCGCAAUACACGAAAGUGUGACGGGGUUACCCAAAGUGUUCAAUAGAACUGUGGUAGGUGAGUAAUGUCCCCUACUAGAAAGGAGAGGGCAAGGCUGGUGCCAGCCGCCGCGGUAAAACCAGCUCUUCAAGUGGUCGGGAUAAUUAUUGGGCUUAAAGUGUCCGUAGCCGGUUUAGUAAGUUCCUGGUAAAAUCGGGUAGCUUAACUAUCUGCAUGCUAGGAAUACUGCUAUACUAGAGGGCGGGAGAGGUCUGAGGUACUACAGGGGUAGGGGUGAAAUCUUAUAAUCCUUGUAGGACCACCAGUGGCGAAGGCGUCAGACUGGAACGCGCCUGACGGUGAGGGACGAAAGCCAGGGGAGCGAACCGGAUUAGAUACCCGGGUAGUCCUGGCCGUAAACGAUGCAUACUAGGUGAUGGUACGGCCAUGAGCCGUAUCAGUGCCGUAGGGAAACCGUUAAGUGUGCCGCCUGGGAAGUACGGUCGCAAGGCUAAAACUUAAAGGAAUUGGCGGGGGAGCACCACAAGGGGUGAAGCCUGCGGUUCAAUUGGAGUCAACGCCGGG